rnacentral:misc_RNA from 1 species
AUAAAACUUCUUUUUGGUAUCUCUCCUCGGAAGACAAGCCUUCUAAAAGAAGAUUUUGAAGUUUGCAGUGUAAAAAAGGUAGAACAUGUUUUUGGGCAUCCGUUCAAUGCUUGAGGGUAAGAUCUGCAGCUAGUGGACAACUUUAAGGAGCAAGAAGUUGAAAGUAAAUGUGCCAUAAUGGAUGAUAACCCUUGUUUUAUGAAUAUUGCCCCUGUCCUUUCCUUUGAAACCUAACAACAGUGUUUGGUUAGGCACCAAAAUAUGCACAUCUAUCUUAAGAACUACAAUCUGGNNNNAAGCCUGCUUGCAAGAAGAAAAGGGUAGACUGUGGAGCGAUGAGUUCGGACAAAAAGAGAGCUUG